AUGAUAACUAAGGGGUGCUUGUUCGUUUGAACUUGCUGAGAAUAGACCCAUAAACCUGAUACGGAUAAUGCCGUCGUAGGGAUUCCCCUUUUACUACUU
rnacentral:ncRNA from 2 species